UACGUGGGGUGCGAGCGUUGUCCGGAAUUACUGGGCGUAAAGAGCUCGUAGGUGGUUUGUCGCGUUGUUCGUGAAAACUCACAGCUCAACUGUGGGCGUGCGGGCGAUACGGGCAGACUGGAGUACUGCAGGGGAGACUGGAAUUCCUGGUGUAGCGGUGAAAUGCGCAGAUAUCAGGAGGAACACCGGUGGCGAAGGCGGGUCUCUGGGCCGAUACUGACGCUGAGGAGCGAAAGCGUGGGGAGCAAACAGG
rnacentral:rRNA from 1 species